rnacentral:tRNA from 1 species
GAAAAUUUAGUUAAUAUAUAACGAUAGUAUGUCAAACUAUAAUAAUUCAAGAAAUAAUUUUCU